GAUGAACGCUGGCGGCGUGCCUAAUACAUGCAAGUCGAGCGAACAGACGAGGAGCUUGCUCCUUCGACGUUAGCGGCGGACGGGUGAGUAACACGUAGGUAACCUACCUAUAAGACUGGGAUAACUUCGGGAAACCGGAGCUAAUACCGGAUAAUAUUUCGAACCGCAUGGUUCGAUAGUGAAAGAUGGCUUUGCUGUCACUUAUAGAUGGAUCUGCGCCGCAUUAGCUAGUUGGUAAGGUAACGGCUUACCAAGGCAACGAUACGUAGCCGACCUGAGAGGGUGAUCGGCCACACUGGAACUGAGACACGGUCCAGACUCCUACGGGAGGCAGCAGUAGGGAAUCUUCCGCAAUGGGCGAAAGCCUGACGGAGCAACGCCGCGUGAGUGAUGAAGGUCUUCGGAUCGUAAAACUCUGUUAUUAGGGAAGAACAAACGUGUAAGUAACUAUGCACGUCUUGACGGUACCUAAUCAGAAAGCCACGGCUAACUACGUG
rnacentral:rRNA from 1 species